UGAGCAAUCUGCCCUUCUCUUCGGAAUAAGCGUUGGAAACGACGUCUAAUACCGAAUACGACCUCCUUUCGCAUGAUCGGAGGUGGAAAGCUCCGGCGGAGAAGGAUGAGCUCGCGGCCUAUCAGCUAGUUGGUGUGGGUAAUGGCCCACCAAGGCGACGACGGGUAGCCGGCCUGAGAGGGUGACCGGCCACACUGGGACUGAGACACGGCCCAGACUCCUGCGGGAGNAG
rnacentral:rRNA from 1 species